rnacentral:rRNA from 1 species
CGACGGGUGAGUAACACGUAUGCAAUCCACCUGUAACAGGGGGAGUAACCCGGAGAAAUCCGGACUAAUACCCAUAAUAUGGGCGCUCCGCAUGGAGAGUCCAUUAAAGAGAGCAAUCUUGGUUACAGACGAGCAUGCGCUCCAUUAGCCAGUUGGCGGGGUAACGGCCCACCAAGGCGACGAUGGAUAGGGGUUCUGAGAGGAAGGUCCCCCACAUUGGAACUGAGACACGGUCCAA